rnacentral:misc_RNA from 1 species
UUUCCGUAGGUGAACCUGCGGAAGGAUCAUUAUCGUACAACAUGGGAGGGGCAUGCGUGUGUUGUCGCUGACCCAAGAGUCGUGCACGCCCGAGUGUGUCCUCUUGCAUAAUAAUCCACCUCUCCCUUGGGGCAUCACCGCGUGGGCAACCUUCGGGAUCAUCUCGGAGGGGGGCUCGCGUUUUCACACAAACCCCCCUUUGAUAAGUGUAGAAUGACCACAUUUAUGCAAUCAAUACAACUUUCAACAACGGAUCUCUUGGCUCUC